rnacentral:rRNA from 1 species
ACGAACGCUGGCGGCAUGCCUCACACAUGUAAGUCGAACGAGACCUUCGGGUCUAGUGGCGCCCGGGUGCGUAACGCGUGGGAACCUGCCCUUAGGUUCGGAAUAACUCCCCGAAAGGGGUGCUAAUACCGGAUAAUGUCUUCGGACCAAAGAUUUAUCGCCUUUGGAUGGGCCCGCGUUGGAUUAGCUAGUUGGUAGGGUAAAAGCCUACCAAGGCGACGAUCCAUAGCUGGUCUGAGAGGAUGAUCAGCCACACUGGGACUGAGACACGGCCCAGACUCCUACGGGAGGCAGCAGUGGGGAAUAUUGGACAAUGGGCGAAAGCCUGAUCCAGCAAUGCCGCGUGAGUGAUGAAGGCCUUAGGGUUGUAAAGCUCUUUUACCCGGGAUGAUAAUGACAGUACCGGGAGAAUAAGCGCCGGCUAACUCCGUG